CUGCAAAUAUUCUUGCUGUUCUGAUUUUGUAAUAAUCCGGGUGGGCUAAAUAUUCGCUGUAUUAAGACUAUGCAUAUGUCUCCAGAAAUAAUUCUUUCCCUAGGUCUGGUUUUGUUAAUGCUUGUGAUAAAU
ensembl:snoRNA SNORA72 Small nucleolar RNA SNORA72